AGCGAACGCUGGCGGCGUACUUAACACAUGCAAGUCGAACGGGGAUCGUCGGUGUAGCAAUACAUCGGCGGUUCUAGUGGCGCACGGGUGAGUAACACGUGGGUAACCUGCCCUUGAGUUCGGGAUACCCUUUCGAAAGGAAGGCUAAUACCGGAUACGUUCCUCGGAUUGCGAAAUCUGGGGAGGAAAGGUGGCGCAAGCUGCCGCUCUUGGAGGGGCUCGCGGCCUAUCAGCUAGUUGGNGAGGUAACGGCUCACCAAGGCUAUGACGGGUAGCUGGUCUGAGAGGACGACCAGCCACACGGGAACUGAGACACGGUCCCGACUCCUACGGGAGGCAGCAGUGGGGAAUUUUCCGCAAUGGGCGAAAGCCUGACGGAGUGACGCCGCGUGGGGACGAAGGCCUCGGUUGUAACCCUACGUCAGAGGG
rnacentral:rRNA from 1 species